UACGAAGGGGGCUAGCGUUGCUCGGAAUCACUGGGCGUAAAGCGCACGUAGGCGGACUCUUAAGUCGGUGGUGAAAUCCUGGAGCUCAACUCCAGAACUGCCUUUGAUACUGAAGAUCUUGAGUCCGGGAGAGGUGAGUGGAACUGCGAGUGUAGAGGUGAAAUUCGUAGAUAUUCGCAAGAACACCAGUGGCGAAGGCGGCUCACUGGCCCGGUACUGACGCUGAGGCACGAAAGCGUGGGAAGCAAACAGG
rnacentral:rRNA from 1 species